ACAAAGAAGAGUUUGAUCCUGGCUCAGGAUGAACGCUAGCGAUAGGCCUAACACAUGCAAGUCGAGGGGCAGCAUAAGGUAGCAAUACCUUGAUGGCGACCGGCGCACGGGUGAGUAACGCGUAUGUAACCUGCCUAUAACAGGGGGAUAACCCGGAGAAAUUCGGACUAAUACCGCAUAAAACAGGGGUCCCGCAUGGGAAUAUUUGUUAAAGAUUUAUCGGUUAUAGAUGGGCAUGCGUUCCAUUAGCUUGUUGGCGAGGUAACGGCUCACCAAGGCAACGAUGGAUAGGGGAACUGAGAGGUUUAUCCCCCACACUGGAACUGAGACACGGACCAGACUCCUACGGGAGGCAGCAGUGAGGAAUAUUGGUCAAUGGGCGCGAGCCUGAACCAGCCAAAUCGCGUGAAGGAAGACUGCCUUAUGGGUUGUAAACUUCUUUUAUACAGGAAUAAAAAGAGUUACGUGUAACUUAUUGCAUGUACUGUAUGAAUAAGCAUCGGCUAACUCCGUGCCAGCAGCCGCGGUAAUACGGAGGAUGCGAGCGUUAUCCGGAUUUAUUGGGUUUAAAGGGUGCGCAGGCGGGUUUUUAAGUCAGUGGUGAAAGUU
rnacentral:rRNA from 1 species